UACGGGGGGGGUAAGCGUUGUUCGGAAUUACUGGGCGUAAAGGGCUCGUAGGCGGCCAACUAAGUCAUACGUGAAAUCCCUCAGCUUAACUGGGGAACUGCGUGUGAUACUGGAUGGCUUGGAUUUGGGAGAGGGAUGCGGAAUUCCAGGUGUAGCGGUGAAAUGCGUAGAUAUCUGGAGGAACACCGGUGGCGAAGGCGGCUCGCUGGGCCAUUCCUGACGCUGAGACGCGAAAGCUAGGGGAGCGAACAGG
rnacentral:rRNA from 1 species